UGGAAGUAAAAGUCGUAACAAGGUCUCCGUUGGUGAACCAGCGGAGGGAUC
rnacentral:rRNA from 2 species